GUAGGGGGCUAGCGUUAUCCGGAAUNACUGGGCGUAAAGGGUGCGUAGGUGGUNUCUUAAGUCAGAGGUGAAAGGCUACGGCUCAACCGUAGUAAGCCUUUGAAACUGGGAAACUUGAGUGCAGGAGAGGAGAGUGGAAUUCCUAGUGUAGCGGUGAAAUGCGUAGAUAUUAGGAGGAACACCAGUUGCGAAGGCGGCUCUCUGGACUGUAACUGACACUGAGGCACGAAAGCGUGGGGAGCAAACAGGAUUAGAUACCCUGGUAGUCCACGCCGUAAACGAUGUCAACUAGCCGUUGGAAUCCUUGAGAUUUUAGUGGCGCAGCUAACGCAUUAAGUUGACCGCCUGGGGAGU
rnacentral:rRNA from 1 species